AGUCGAACGAAGUUUUUCGGAACUUAGUGGCGGACGGGUGAGUAACGCGUGAGAAUCUGCCUUAAGGAUUGGGACAACAGUGGGAAACCGCUGCUAAUACCAAAUAUGCCUUUUAGUGAAACGGGUAAAACCGCCUUAAGAUGAGCUCGCGUCUGAUUAGCUAGUUGGUGUGGUAAGAGCGCACCAAGGCAACGAUCAGUAGCUGGUCUGAGAGGACGACCAGCCACACUGGGACUGAGACACGGCCCAGACUCCUACGGGAGGCAGCAGUGAGGAAUUUUCCGCAAUGGGCGAAAGCCUGACGGAGCAAUACCGCGUGGGGGAGGAAGGUUCUUGGAUUGUAAACCUCUUUUCUCAGAGAAGAAUAAUGACGGUAUCUGAGGAAUAAGCAUCGGCUAACUCCGUGCCAGCAGCCGCGGUAAUACGGAGGAUGCAAGCGUUAUCCGGAAUGAUUGGGCGUAAAGGGUCUGUAGGUGGUUGUUCAAGUCUGCUGUUAAAGCGUCUGGCUUAACCAGAUAAAGGCGGUGGAAACUGAACGACUAGAGUGCGGUAGGGGUAGAGGGAAUUCCCAGUGUAGCGGUGAAAUGCGUAGAUCUUGGGAAGAACACCUGUGGCGAAAGCGCUCUACUGGACCGCGACUGACACUCAUGGACGAAAGCUAGGGGAGCGAAUGGGAUUAGAUACC
rnacentral:rRNA from 1 species